AGCGAACGCUGGCGGCAGGCUUAACACAUGCAAGUCGAGCGGGCGUAGCAAUACGUCAGCGGCAGACGGGUGAGUAACGCGUGGGAACAUACCUUUUGGUUCGGAACAACACAGGGAAACUUGUGCUAAUACCGGAUAAGCCCUUACGGGGAAAGAUUUAUCGCCGAAAGAUUGGCCCGCGUCUGAUUAGCUAGUUGGUAGGGUAAUGGCCUACCAAGGCGACGAUCAGUAGCUGGUCUGAGAGGAUGAUCAGCCACAUUGGGACUGAGACACGGCCCAAACUCCUACGGGAGGCAGCAGUGGGGAAUAUUGGACAAUGGGCGCAAGCCUGAUCCAGCCAUGCCGCGUGAGUGAUGAAGGCCCUAGGGUUGUAAAGCUCUUUUGUGCGGGAAGAUAAUGA
rnacentral:rRNA from 1 species